AACGAACGCUGGCGGCAUGCCUAACACAUGCAAGUCGAACGAGCCCUUCGGGGCUAGUGGCGCACGGGUGCGUAACGCGUGGGUACGUGCUCUUAUGUGCGGAAUAACCCCCCGAAAGGGGGUAUAAUAGCGGACAAUCUCUUCGGACCAAAGAUUUAUCGGCUUAGGAUGGGCCCGCGUUGGAUUAGGUAGUUGGUAGGGUAAAAGCCUACCAAGGCGACGAUCCAUAGCUGGUCUGAGAGGAUGAUCAGCCACACUGGGACUGAGACACGGCCCAGACUCCUACGGGAGGCAGCAGUGGGGAAUAUUGGACAAUGGGCGAAAGCCUGAUCCAGCAAUGCCGCGUGAGUGAUGAAGGCCUUAGGGUUGUAAAGCUCUUUUACCCGGGAUGAUAAUGACAGUACCGGGAGAAUAAGCUCCGGCUAACUCCGUG
rnacentral:rRNA from 1 species